rnacentral:rRNA from 1 species
CCUACGGGAGGCAGCAGUGGGGAAUUUUGGACAAUGGGCGAAAGCCUGAUCCAGCCAUGCCGCGUGAGUGAAGAAGGCCUUCGGGUUGUAAAGCUCUUUCGGCCGGGAAGAAAUCGUGUGGGCUAAUACCCUGCAUGGAUGACGGUACCGGAAUAAGAAGCACCGGCUAACUACGUGCCAGCAGCCGCGGUAAUACGUAGGGUGCGAGCGUUAAUCGGAAUUACUGGGCGUAAAGCGUGCGCAGGCGGUUUGGUAAGACAGGCGUGAAAUCCCCGGGCUCAACCUGGGAACUGCGCUUGUGACUGCCUCACUAGAGUACGGCAGAGGGGGGUGGAAUUCCACGUGUAGCAGUGAAAUGCGUAGAGAUGUGGAGGAACACCGAUGGCGAAGGCAGCCCCCUGGGCCGAUACUGACGCUCAUGCACGAAAGCGUGGGUAGCAAACAGGAUUAGAUACCCUGGUAGUCCACGCCCUAAACGAUGUCAACUAGUUGUUGGGGGGGUAAAACCCUUUAGUAACGUAGCUAACGCGUGAAGUUGACCGCCUGGGGAGUACGGCCGCAAGGUUAAAACUCAAAUGAAUUGACGG